UACGUAGGGUGCAAGCGUUGUCCGGAAUCCAUUGGGCGUAAAGCGCGCGUAGGCGGCCCGAUAAGUCCGCUGUAAAAGUCAACGGCUCAACUGUUGAAAGCCGGUGGAUACUGUCGGGCUAGAGUACGGAAGAGGCAAGUGGAAUUCCUGGUGUAGCGGUGGAAUGCGUAGGAGAUCCGGAAGAACACCGGUGGCGAAGGCGGUGAGCUGGGCAGUUGCUGACACUGAGGCGCGACAGCGUGGGGAGCAAACAGG
rnacentral:rRNA from 1 species